rnacentral:rRNA from 1 species
AUUGAACGCUGGCGGCAGGCUUAACACAUGCAAGUCGAGCGGGGGAAGGUAGCUUGCUACCGGACCUAGCGGCGGACGGGUGAGUAAUGCUUAGGAAUCUGCCUAUUAGUGGGGGACAACAUCUCGAAAGGGAUGCUAAUACCGCAUACGUCCUACGGGAGAAAGCAGGGGAUCUUCGGACCUUGCGCUAAUAGAUGAGCCUAAGUCGGAUUAGCUAGUUGGUGGGGUAAAGGCCUACCAAGGCGACGAUCUGUAGCGGGUCUGAGAGGAUGAUCCGCCACACUGGGACUGAGACACGGCCCAGACUCCUACGGGAGGCAGCAGUGGGGAAUAUUGGACAAUGGGGGGAACCCUGAUCCAGCCAUGCCGCGUGUGUGAAGAAGGCCUUAUGGUUGUAAAGCACUUUAAGCGAGGAGGAGGCUACUUUAGUUAAUACCUAGAGAUAGUGGACGUUACUCGCAGAAUAAGCACCGGCUAACUCUGUGCCAGCAGCCGCCGUAACAC